CCCUUAGAUGUUCUGGGCCGCACGCGCGCUACACUGAUGCAUUCAACGAGCCUAUCCUUGACCGACAGGUCCGGGUAAUCUUUGAAUCUGCAUCGUGACGGGGAUAGAUUAUUGCAAUUAUUAAUCUUCAACGAGGAAUGCCUAGUAGGCGCAAGUCAUCAGCUUGCGUCGAUUACGUCCCUGCCCUUUGUACACACCGCCCGUCGCUCCUACUGAUUGGGUGUGCUGGUGAAAUGUUCGGAUCGGCCGUUUGUCGCGGUUUCCGCGUCAUGUGGCUGAGAAGUUCAUUAAACCCUCCCACCGAGAGGAAGGAGAAGUCGUAACA
rnacentral:rRNA from 1 species